rnacentral:sRNA from 1 species
GGCGCCAAGGCACGGAGUUGACGUCAACGGAGUCCGUGUUAGGGGCCCCCAAGCAGAGUCUGGAAAAGGGGGAUGGGAUGUGGGUGUGAAGGGAUGCAGCCCCCCCAAAAGAAAUCGGGGUGAAUCAGAAAUACCUACUAAUGAUGCCCCAAUGCAAAACCUGAGAAGAGAGAGGGGAAAAGGACAAGCAUAUAUUUGUCUAAAAUCGGGAAAAAGGAAAAACCAUGAAAAAUCGAGGCAGAAACACAUACGUUGAGGUCUAACCACGAACGAUAAAGGUGGAAGAAAGGACUUUUCUGCCUGCAACACCCAAGUACUAAGCUAAUUUCCUUAAUAAACGAAGAGCUAUUGGAAACCAGCAAGGGAAAGACAAAAGCAAACCAAAAAGGGGCAAAAGAGACUGCAAGUCACAGGACAAUACAAAUGGCUGGAAGAAUCAUGACCUGACUGUCUGCAUAGCGAAACGCCAACCUGAGAUACUGGGUGAAGGCGGUUUAUGGCAGCGCGCUGAAUCGCAUGUGGUCACCCACCAUUGCAUGAAUCCACUGCAUAGAAUAGCAAGAGAUUGCAAGGGGAGUAAGCGGGUAGAUUACCAAGCCCGCCUGUGAUAGAAGACAUCCCUGUCACCAGGAAAAAUAACGGGGGUAUCGCUGCCAUAAAGGACCUGAAUCGUAAUAGAUCCAGUGAAAUAAAGCCCGCUGCUGAAGUUUGUAGAAACGAAAUGUGUACAGUGCCAUUUUCCUGAGGCUAUAUGACCUGUGACACCAUAACAGGCUGAAGGCUCAAGCAGAUGAGAAUUCCAACUGCUCCCUAUCAAGUCUGACACCGAUGACAUUUGCAGAGAUGUAAAACGAUGCUACCAGGUAGCCACAUCUGCUGUGUGUCCAUGAUUGCAUGCCAUGUCCAGAAGACGGUGUUUCAUGUCGCACCUUCCCAUCCUGCCAUCAGCCCUACGUCCUACACAGUAACUCAGCUGUUUCCUGUACAGGUCUCUCCCAUGCCCCUUCAUCUCCAUAUCUCCAUGGCUGUACCUGUGUUCCUGGUCACCCCGUGUCUCCCUCACUCCCCGACCCACGUGGCCUCUGAUCAACUCAGCAUUUGCAGCCACAGGGAUCUUCUCAAGAGGAAAAUUGGAGGGCAUCACCUCCUCGCUCGAAACUGGCCAGUGCCCAUUAGGCUGAAGACCUCAGCAUUCGCCUGACCAUCUAGUAGGCCAUCAACCUCCCCUGUUUCCGGUUCCCUGACAUCAGUUUAUUUCAUCUUCCUAAGCCCUGAUGGAGUGGAUAUCGUAAGAGUUCCUGUCUCAAUCAAAGUGCUUGCUUCAGAAUCAUGAGAGCAUGAGUUCAAUCCCCAGUAACAUGUUAAUAACAAACAAACAAACAGACCAACAAAAGCCAAGGCGGGUACUGCACACUUGUAACCCCAGUGCUGGUGAAAUGGAGCAGUAGGGAUCUUUGGCUAGUACUGAGGAUUGAACCCAGGGCCUUGUGCAUGCUAGGAUAUUGCCAAACAUUCCAGGUUUUAUCACACUUUCAUGGAGUUCCAGAAACCUCUGGGCUGGUCCAUGGACUUCCGUGCAAAAUCUUUUAUUAGCAAGAACCUACUACCCCCACACCUGACAUAUCUGAUCACCUUCCUUAUCCUACCCAGUGACGUCUCAACUCCCUGCCCUGUGUCCAGCAAGACUGCUGGGUCAGAGUGGAGAGAAUUCAGCUCAUCCUUAUGUUUCCAUGGGAACCUUUCCUUCCCAUGGACCUGAUCCUGAUUCUUGCCGAUAGACAACAGCUUGCCCACACUGUGUUUGGAAUUAGACUGUAUCUUCACCCCUUAAUCUUCAUAGGAAAACCCAAGGCUGGUGACAUGGCUCAGCUGGGUAAGGGUGAUGGUGGCCAAGCAUGAUGACUUGAAUUUGGUCCCUGAUACUGGGCAUUCUUUCCGUCACGGGAAGGAGAGGGCUGACUCCUGCAAGUUGUCUUUUGAUCUCCACAAGUGCACAUCCCCCUUCCUGCAAAAUAAAUAACCUAAUGUAAUUUAAGAAGAUGAAGACGAAAAAACACUGUCAAGGUCCUUAUAUCUAUCGAGACAGUCCUCAAUAAAAUUUUUCUUACACAGUCCGUC